GUGCUCUUUAGUAUCACAUACACUAAAAUUGGAACUAUGCAUACAUUAGCAUGCCCUUGUGCAGGGAUGACAGGCAAAUUUGAUGCAUUUUAUAUGUUUUA
rnacentral:snRNA from 1 species